rnacentral:rRNA from 1 species
CGCGUAGGCGGGAUGGCAAGUCGGUCGUGAAAUCCUUCGGCUCAACCGAAGAACGUCGAUCGAUACUGCUGUUCUUGAGGGUUGCAGAGGAGACUGGAAUUCCCGGUGUAGCGGUGAAAUGUGUAGAGAUCGGGAGGAACACCGGUGGCGAAGGCGGGUCUCUGGGCAACUCCUGACGCUGAGGCGCGAAAGCGUGGGGAGCAAACGGGAUUAGAUACCCCGGUAGUCCACGCUGUAAACGAUGACGACUAGGUGUGGGGGGGGUUCAGUCCCUUCCGUGCCGCAGCUAACGCAUUAAGUCGUCCGCCUGGGGAGUACGGCCGCAAGGUUGAA